rnacentral:rRNA from 1 species
GACGGAGGAUGCAAGCGUUAUCCGGAAUUAUUGGGCGUAAAGCGUCCGCAGGUGGCUGUUCAAGUCUGCUGUCAAAGCGCAGAGCUUAACUCCGUACAGGCGGUGGAAACUGAAGAGCUAGAGUAUGGUAGGGGUAGAGGGAAUUCCCGGUGUAGCGGUGAAAUGCGUAGAUAUCGGGAAGAACACCAGUGGCGAAAGCGCUCUACUGGGCCAUAACUGACACUGAGGGACGAAAGCUAGGGGAGCGAAAGGG